rnacentral:rRNA from 1 species
GGCUUAUGGAGGGGGAUAACCAUUGGAAACGGUGGCUAAUACCGCAUGAUGUCGCAAGACCAAAGUGGGGGACCUUAAGGCCUCACGCCAUGAGAUGAACCCAGAUGAGAUUAGCUAGUAGGUGCGGUAAUGGCGUACCUAGGCGACGAUCUCUAGCUGGUCUGAGAGGAUGACCAGCCACACUGGAACUGAGAGACGGUCCAGACUCCUACGGGAGGCAGCAGUGGGGAAUAUUGCACAAUGGGCGGAAGCCUGAUGCAGCCAUGCCGCGUGUGUGAA